CAGUGUAUGGUGGGUAGUUUGACUGGGGCGGUCUCCUCCUAAAGAGUAACGGAGGAGCUCGAAGGUACGCUCAGCGCGGUCGGACAUCGCGCACUGUGUGCAAAGGCAUAAGCGUGCUUGACUGCAAGAUCGACGGAUCAAGCAGGUACGAAAGUAGGUCUUAGUGAUCCGGUGGUUCUGUAUGGAAGGGCCAUCGCUCAACGGAUAAAAGGUACUCCGGGGAUAACAGGCUGAUA
rnacentral:rRNA from 1 species